rnacentral:rRNA from 1 species
ACUCCUACGGGAGGCAGCAGUGGGAAUAUUGGACAAUGGGGGAACCCUGAUCCAGCCAUGCCGCGUGCAGGAAGACUGCCCUAUGGGUUGUAAACNGCUUUUGUACAGGAAGAAACACUCCCUCGUGAGGGAGCUUGACGGUACUGUAAGAAUAAGGAUCGGCUAACUCCGUGCCAGCAGCCGCGGUAAUACGGAGGAUCCAAGCGUUAUCCGGAAUCAUUGGGUUUAAAGGGUCCGUAGGUGGAUGAUUAAGUCAGAGGUGAAAUCCCUGAGCUCAACUGUAGAAUUGCCUUUGAUACUGGUUGUCUUGAAUUAUGUGAAGUAGUUAGAAUAUGUGGUGUAGCGGUGAAAUGCAUAGAUAUCACAUAGAAUACCGAUUGCGAAGGCAGAUUACUAACAAUACAUUGACACUGAUGGACGAAAGCGUGGGGAGCGACAGGAUUAGAUACCCUGGUAGGCUCUG